GUCUGAUGAACACAGAUGACGAGUCUGAUUCGGGUUUCCGUUGAAGACAACCUUUUUACUACCAUUCAUGCCUUUUCUGAUA
rnacentral:snoRNA from 1 species